rnacentral:rRNA from 1 species
UCCUACGGGGCGCAGCAGUAGGGAAUCUUCCACAAUGGGCGAAAGCCUGAUGGAGCAACGCCGCGUGGGUGAAGAAGGUCUUCGGAUCGUAAAACCCUGUUGUUAGAGAAGAAAGUGCGUGAGAGUAACUGUUCACGUUUCGACGGUAUCUAACCAGAAAGCCACGGCUAACUACGUGCCAGCAGCCGCGGUCAUACGUAGGUGGCAAGCGUUAUCCGGAUUUAUUGGGCGUAAAGGGAACGCCGGCGGUCUUUUAAGUCUGAUGUGAAAGCCUUCGGCUUCACCGGAGGAGUGCCUUGGCAACU